rnacentral:misc_RNA from 1 species
GCCUCCGUAGGUCUACGUCGUUAAGGCACUCCUUUAAAUUAUUCAUAUCUUCGCAAUAUUAUGUUGCAAAGCUGUGUCAGCUCUAGGAAUCUGUACUAGCGCUUCAUCAUAGAAUAAGCAAACCUUUCAGCUUUGUCCUGUGGCUUCGCAGUUUUCUUUACAAGAAUCAAGUACAGAUCAUAUUAUAAAAAGAAACUGAAGGCUUUAUGCUGCAAGACCAAUCUGCUAUCAAUCUGAGGCAAAAAGAGAGCCUUCAGGAAAUCCAAAGAAGUCAAGAUUCGUAGAGCAAUAUCCUUUAAAGACAAAAUCUGUUAACUGCGAUGGCCUCCACCUCAGUUCUAGAUGAAACAGACUCUACACCAUAUAAAAACGUUAUACGCAUCGCGCGGCUCUUAAUCGGUGAAGGUACAAAGCUGCUAAGGGAAAGUUUUGACCUGAUUUAUCCCCCAAGUAUCCUCCCAAAAAUCUUGAAAGACCCCACAACGGUAAAUAAGCUAAAGUCUGCAGUGAUAACUAAAGCACAGUGGGACUGUCUUUACCCUUCUUUGGAAGUAACGGCAGAGUCAACUGAUUUUGACUUCGCUCUGCUACUCACUUUAUUGAUGACAAUUUGUGACUUUACUCCUCCUAUUAUGGGAUGGGAUGCUCUGCCUGUAACAACUGAUCAAAGUACAACUGCUGAUUUAGCCAGAAUCAACUGUUAUGGGAGGUCACUCCUCAGUCACCUGGCUAACAAAAUGGAAAUGUUAGAUGAGUCGUUUCUUUCUCUAUGGGAAAACGUCAAGAAAGUAUUCCACCGAAUCGCAAGCAAAAUCGGCUCAAAAAGAAAAGGCAAACUAGAAGAAGCCAUAGCGAUCCUGUUAAACGACUUGCCGGUGGUUAUGGAUGCAAAAGAGAGGGAAGAGUUGAAGAUGUGGUACACGACUCAAAUAGAGAUCAACAAAGCCAUGAAGGAAAAGAAAGCGUCAACCAAAGAGAAGCAUGGGUAUGAGACCGAGACAAGUAUAGGAAAAGAACAGAAAGAGCUUGUGGAGAAAGGAAGAGGUGUUAUGACGGAAAGCCAGCACAUAGAGACGCUCUUUCGGAAUAUCGCAGAAGAUAUCAAAGAUCCGCUCAGGAGGGAGCUGAUGAGUCUAACUCAAUUGCAGGAAGGAGUUGACAAUUUGGGCAUCGAAAGUUUUCCAAGGUUUUCAACCGAAAAAAAAAUAGCAAAAACAACAGAGCUUCAAAAGCGAGAUGGAGUUGACCUUCAUCUGCAUUUCGAAUGUGUGUCCAUCUCAGGACCUGGUCUACAAGGAGGUAAAGAAAAAAUAACUUUUAGAGGAGACAAACCUAUGCUAGAGGAAGCCCACCACAAGGAGGAGAAACAGAGCGAUGCGGACGAAUCUAAAGAAAAAAUUUCAGAGUCACCUUGCCCCUCCGAAAGGACACAAGCGCCUAGCUCUUGGGAAGACGAAAAAACCCACGAAGAGCCUAUACGUUUAGAUGUUAAUACAGAGGUCCCUGGUGAAGCAAAAGAGUCCACUGCAUGGAAUAUAGGGAUUGAAUCUGAGGAAAAAGAUGUAACAGAAGACCGGAUGCCCUCAUCACAAAAAGUUUUAAAUUUAAUCGCCGCCCGUUAUCUAGAAGCCUUUUCUCCUAACAGAGAAAAAGAACAUAAUGGAUUUGUGGAAUAUCUGAAUGCAAUGAAGGUCCUUCUGACAAGGACUUGGCAGGGCAGCUUGAUAGUUACUGCGCACUGCACAUCCUUAGAAAUCCUUGACAAACUAUGGGAUAGCUAUUCUACUGGCCUGUUGAAUGAGAUGGCGCAAAAGUAUCUUGUGAGAGAAGAAAUUUUGGAGGAAUUUGGGUUAACUGAGAUGAGACUCAAAACAACUAUUUCGGAAGAGGAAUACAGAGCUGGCAGAGAAUAUUUCUUACGUGAUUCUGGAAAUUCGGAGAGCUCUAGCCCAAGAGCAGUUUGUCAAGGUGCUUUUGGACCUGAUUCUGGAUCAGAGCCCAUGGAGUGUGAAUCACAGGCCAAGACAGACAGCAAGCUUGAGGAUCCGCAACAGCAGGAGGAGAUGGAAAUUAGGUCGAAUGCUUUGUUAAAAAGCAUAAUGCAAUGUACUCCAAACGAAUCUGGGCCUGAGUCUAGAUCAGACCCCAUGGAGUGUAAAUCACAGGCCAAGAGAGGCAGCAAGCUUGAGGAUCCGCAACAGCAGGAGGAGAUGGAAAUUGGGUCGAAUGCUUUGUUAAAAAGCAUAAUGCACUCUAUUUCAAACAAAUCCGAGAGUCGCUCAAUAGACGCGGCAGGAACUGUAUGGCUGCUUCAGGAUAUUCACGCCGCCGCUUGUCUAACAUUUCCGAAAAGUGCUGUGUCGAAAUCUGUGCUCUUCAAAUGCACCUUGUUGGAGUCAACAGACAACUUUCCGCCACUGGUAGAGGAUGAGACGUUAGUGAGCAAUGUCGUCCAGCUAUCUUACGAAGACUCGUAUGGUUCCAGUUUUGAGGGAGAUUU